GAUGAACGCUGGCGGCGUUCCUAAUACAUGCGAGUCGAGCGAACAGACGAGGAGCUUGCUCCUCUGACGUUAGCGGCGGACGGGUGAGUAACACGUGGAUAACCUACCUAUAAGACUGGGAUAACUUCGGGAAACCGGAGCUAAUACCGGAUAAUAUAUUGAACCGCAUGGUUCAAUAGUGAAAGACGGUUUUGCCGUCACUUAUAGAUGGAUCCGCGCCGCAUUAGCUAGUUGGUAAGGUAACGGCUUACCAAGGCGACGAUGCGUAGCCGACCUGAGAGGGUGAUCGGCCACACUGGAACUGAGACACGGUCCAGACUCCUACGGGAGGCAGCAGUAGGGAAUCUUCCGCAAUGGGCGAAAGCCUGACGGAGCAACGCCGCGUGAGUGAUGAAGGUCUUCGGAUCGUAAAACUCUGUUAUUAGGGAAGAACAAAUGUGUAAGUAACUAUGCACGUCUUGACGGUACCUAAUCAGAAAGCCACGGCUAACUACGUG
rnacentral:rRNA from 1 species